rnacentral:rRNA from 1 species
GACCGAGGGUGCAAACGUUGUUCGGAAUUACUGGGCGUAAAGCGCGUGUAGGCGGCCCUGCAAGUCGGGUGUGAAAUCCCACGGCUCAACCGUGGAAGUGCACUCGAAACUGCAGGGCUAGAGUCCUGGAGAGGAAGGUGGAAUGCUUGGUGUAGAGGUGAAAUUCGUAGAUAUCAAGCGGAACACCGGUGGCGAAGGCGGCCUUCUGGACAGUGACUGACGCUGAGACGCGAAAGCGUGGGGAGCAAACAGG